UGGAUUGAUGAUGACCACUGGUGGCCCAUGAGUCAUACAAUGAAUACGUGUCUAGAACUCUGAGGUCCAU
ensembl:snoRNA